rnacentral:rRNA from 1 species
CCUACGGGAGGCAGCAGUGGGGAAUAUUGCACAAUGGGGGCAACCCUGAUGCAGCAACGCCGCGUGAAGGAAGACGGUUUUCGGAUUGUAAACUUCUGUUCUUAGUGAAGAAUAAUGUCGCUAGCUCUGGAGCAUGCCCCGGCUAACUCCGUGCCAGCAGCCGCGGUAAUACGUAGGUGGCAAGCGUUGUCCGGAUUUACUGGGUGUAAAGGGCGUGUAGCCGGGAGGACAAGUCAGAUGUGAAAACCCGCGGCUCAACCUGGGUACUGCAUUUGAAACUGUUGUUCUUGAGUAUCGGAGAGGUAGACGGAAUUCCUAGUGUAGCGGUGAAAUGCGUAGAUAUUAGGAAGAACACCAGUGGCGAAGGCGGAUUACUGGACGACAACUGACGGUGAGGCGCGAAAGCGUGGGGAGCAAACAGGAUUAGAUACCCCGGUAGUC